CCUCUCUCCAGGGGAGAGAGCGAGGCGUAUCUGGGAGAACCUCUGCUUCUAAUGCGGGCAGCCUGGCCAUAUUCGCAGCACCUUUCCCAAAUCGCUCUGCAGAGCUGGAAUGCCAUCAGAGGAAUGUGAGCAGCAGCGGGAUGUUGUUCUCGGACACUGAGGCAGCUUUGAAGACACCAGCCUCCCACGCGAACUCUGAGAGCUUUAAACUGACAACCGUCACAGGAGCGCCUGCUCCUUUGUGGGAUUAUUCAUCAGUGGAGGAGGAGGAGGGGGGGCAUUAAUUAAGUGCACUGCAAUGGAUUGAUGUCUGUGCAUGUUACAUCUACCUUCAAAAAACAAAAAGAAAGGGAUGCAUGUCUCAAAAACCUGUCGAGUUGGAUUUUCCCGUUGUGAUCGAAGCCUCCAUUCAGGCCCUGUGACGCAUCACUGUAGCUUUAAACGCCCGUUGCCAUGGAAACAGGAACCAGCACGCAGGUUUGAAGCACAGAUCAUGAUCUUUUUUUCCCUUCUCUUUCUGUCUUGCUCUCUAAGUCACUUUCAGUCUCCUUUCACCCUGCCACUCCACUCCUUAGCUUAGUCUUUUUUUUUAUUCCUCUUCCCUCCACGUUCUCUUUAUCCUCCCUUGACUUUCAUAGAUUCAUUAUUUUGGGGCAUAAUCUUCCUUUCCCAAGGUUUCCCCCUCUUUCUCCUCCACCUGCAAGAAUGAGGAGGAAGAGGUUUCCCCCUCUUCCUCACAGGUUUUCAUUCCCCGUGAUUUCAUUCACACCUCCCUCUUAAUUCAUCCAUGUCAAGUUGUCACCGCAAAUUUCAUUGCUGUCUUCCUCUCCUUUCAUCACUCUCUUCACUUGUCAUGUCAUCCUCUGUGCCUCUUCCCUUCCACCCAUCCACCAUCUUCCUGGGCUUCUCUUUAUCUUUUCCUGCUGUCCAUAGUUUCUUUUCUUUCUUAUAAUCUUUGGUUGUAGAUAUGAAGCUCAGUCAAACUCCCAGGAGACUUUGCAACAGCACAUCCAUUUAAACAUGCCUUUGCAUAAUGCAAGAUAGCUGCUGUGUGCAUCAAACAAUUUCUUUUGGAGGCAAACGGCUGCAAGCACAAAACUGUAUGAUACAAUUACUGUCCUGUUUCCACAAUAAAAAAUGAUGCAGUCCUCAAUAAAGAGAAGGUUUGGAGCAAAAGUUGUACUUUUAGCCUUGCAUGAAUUAGUUUAGAACAACUGUUUUUUCCCAUUUUUAUCCUUUAUUUCAGUCUGGAGAAUAAAAAGACCCAAAUCAGA